CAGUCGCCGCGGUAAUACGUAGGGCGCAAGCGUUAAUCGGAAUUACUGGGCGUAAAGCGUGCGCAGGCGGUUAUAUAAGUCAGAUGUGAAAUCCCCGGGCUCAACCUGGGAACUGCAUUUGAGACUGUAUGGCUAGAGUGUGUCAGAGGGGGGUAGAAUUCCACGUGUAGCAGUGAAAUGCGUAGAUAUGUGGAGGAAUACCGAUGGCGAAGGCAGCCCCCUGGGAUAACACUGACGCUCAUGCACGAAAGCGUGGGGAGCAAACAGGAUUAGAUACCCGCGUAGUCCCUGUCUCUUAUAC
rnacentral:rRNA from 1 species